CCUACGGGUGGCUGCAGUGAGGAAUAUUGGUCAAUGGACGCAAGUCUGAACCAGCCAUGUCGCGUGCAGGAUGACGGCUCUCUGAGUUGUAAACUGCUUUUGUACGGGAAUAAACGCAGAUACGCGUAUCUGUCUGUAUGUAUCGUAUGAAUAAGGAUCGGCUAACUCCGUGCCAGCAGCCGCGGUAAUACGGAGGAUUCAAGCGUUAUCCGGAUUUAUUGGGUUUAAAGGGUGCGUAGGCGGGCUGUUAAGUUAGAGGUGAAAUCCCGAGGCUCAACGGUGGAAUUGCCACUGAUACUGGUCGGCUAGAGAUUAGUUGCGGUAGGCGGAAUGUAUGGUGUAGCGGUGAAAUGCUUAGAGAUCAUACAGAACACCGAUUGCGAAGGCAGCUUACCAAGCUACUACUGACGUUGAGGCACGAAAGCGUGGGGAUCAAACAGGAUUAGAUACCCGAGUAGUC
rnacentral:rRNA from 1 species